rnacentral:sRNA from 12 species
AUUUUGUUAAUCUACCUGAUUAAUAAUUGCAAACGACGAUGCCUCCCGCGCCCCCCCUCCCGUCAACAGUCUCCCCGUACC